ACAGAACUGGGACUUUCUUCCCAUUUGGAUGACCUCAUUGCAGCCUCUGGAUGACCUCAUCACCAGAAUGACCGUGUGGUGCAGGCAAAGUAGAGGCUGAGGCUUUAAGGAAGAUAACAGACCUGUAACAUCGUUGGAGAGCACUGCUGCCAACUCUGAAGGAAGCAUAAGGGGACAAUUGAAGCUAAAUGGAGAAAACCAAGAAACUGCUAAAAGUGUGAUAAAACAAAGAGAAUUAAACAAUCCUGGAUGUUCUGGUUUACAAUAUAAUGAGGACAAUAAGAAAGAAAAUGCAAACAACAUGCCUUUAGGGGGCAGCAUGCGUCACACCGAAGAGAAAGACACAAUCUUUAAUAAUCAAGACAUUUAUCUUUAUAGCACUCAGUUGUAGUGCCAUUACUGUGUCUGACACAUCUACAAGCACGUUGUGUCAAAGCCUGCAAGAAUGUCAUUUACUAAAGCGUGUUUCCACUGUGGUCUGAUUGAUUUUAACCUUAUAAAUCAGAAUCAGUGUAAACCUCAAAGAUCACACCAAGACAGCAGAAUAAACAUCACUUCAAAGAUAUCAAGAAACAACUCAAAAGUGGACAAGUGGGGAUGUGAUUUGUUUCAUGGUUAAAAUGGAAACUAUCUGGAGAUUUUAUUAAAUUUUCUUUUUUGCUCUGUUUACACAUAAGUGUCGCCUUGAUCCUGCAAGCUUUUCUACUGCAGCUAAUGUAGCAACAUAAA